AGGGUUUGAUCAUGGCUCAGAUUGAACGCUGGCGGUAGGCUUAACACAUGCAAGUCGUGCGAGAAAGUAUCUUCGGAUAUGAGUAGAGCGGCGGACGGGUGAGUAACGCGUAGGAAUCUACCUAGUAGAAGGGGAUAGCCCGGGGAAACUCGGAUUAAUACCGUAUACCUCCUUCGGGAGAAAGAAGGCCUCUCUUUGAAGCUUUCGCUAUUAGAUGAGCCUGCGUAAGAUUAGCUUGUUGGUGAGGUAAAGGCUCACCAAGGCAACGAUCUUUAGCGGGUCUGAGAGGACGAUCCGCCACAUUGGGACUGAGACACGGCCCAGACUCCUACGGGAGGCAGCAGUGGGGAAUAUUGGACAAUGGGCGCAAGCCUGAUCCAGCCAUACCGCGUGUGUGGAGAAGGCCCUAGGGUUGUAAAGCACUUUAAGUUGGGAAGAAAAGUUAUUGGUUAAUACCCAAUAACCGUGACAUUACCUUCAGAAUAAGGACCGGCUAAUUCCGUGCCAGCCGCCGCGGUAAUU
rnacentral:rRNA from 1 species